rnacentral:rRNA from 1 species
GACGAACGCUGGCGGCGUGCUUAACACAUGCAAGUCGAACGCUGAAGCUCAGCUUUUGUUGGGUGGAUGAGUGGCGAACGGGUGAGUAACACGUGAGUAACCUGCCCCCUUCUUUGGGAUAACGCCCGGAAACGGGUGCUCAUACUGGAUAUUCACUGGUCUUCGCAUGGGGGUUGGUGGAAAGGGUUUUUCUGGUGGGGGAUGGGCUCGCGGCCUAUCAGCUUGUUGGUGGGGUGAUGGCCUACCAAGGCUUUGACGGGUAGCCGGCCUGAGAGGGUGACUGGUAACAGUGGGAAGGAGAGACGGCCCAGACUCCGACGGGAGGCAGCAGUGGGGAAUAUUGCACAAGGGGCGCAAGCCUGAUGCAGCGACGCCGCGUGAGGGAUGGAGGCCUUCGUGUUGUGAACCUCUUUCGCUCAUGGUCAAGCCGCAACAAUGGUUGUGGUGAGGGUAGUGGGUAAAGAAGCGCCGGCUAACUACGUG